rnacentral:rRNA from 1 species
GCCAGACUCCUACGGGAGGCAGCAGUGGGGAAUAUUGCGCAAUGGACGAAAGUCUGACGCAGCGACGCCGCGUGAGGGAUGAAGGUUUUCGGAUCGUAAACCUCUGUCAGGAGGGAAGAAAGCGCAUGGCGCCAAUCAGCCAUGCGUUGACGGUACCUCCAAAGGAAGCGCCGGCUAACUCCGUGCCAGCAGCCGCGGUAAUACGGAGGGCGCGAGCGUUAUCCGGAUUUAUUGGGUUUAAAGGGUGCGUAGGCGGGCUGUUAAGUCAGCGGUCAAAGGUCGGGGCUAACCCCCGGCCUGCCGUUGAAACUGGCGGCCUCGAGUGGGCGAGAAGUAUGCGGAAUGCGUGGUGUAGCGGUGAAAUGCAUAGAUAUCACGCAGAACUCCGAUUGCGAAGGCAGCAUACCGGCGCCCGACUGACGCUGAGGCACGAAAGCGUGGGUAUCGAACAGGAUUAGAUACCCUAGUAAA